GAUGAAGAACGUAGCGAAAUGCGAUACUUGGUGUGAAUUGCAGAAUCCCGUGAACCAUCGAGUCUUUGAACGCAAGUUGCGCCCGAAGCCGUCAGGUCGAGGGCACGCCUGCCUGGGCGUCACACGCCGUUGCCCCCCCGCGCCCCGCACCCAACGCUUUGGGAGCGACCGCGGGGCGGGCUGAUGAUGGCCUCCCGUGCGCUCCGCCGCGCGGUUGGCCCAAAUACCGAGUCCCCGGCGACGUGCGCCACGACGAUCGGUGGUUGAGAGACCUCUGUCGCAAGUCGUGCGCGCCCGUCGCGUCACGCGGGCUCGCAUAGCGCCUCGCGCCGCACCCGGUGCGGAGCUUUCAACGCGACCCCAGGUCAGGCGGGGUUACCCGCUGAAUUUAAGCAUAUCAAUAAGCGGAGA
rnacentral:misc_RNA from 1 species